rnacentral:lncRNA from 1 species
CUAAACCUAGAUUCUACUAUAGGGACCUAAAAAGAUACGCCAAAAAGAGAGCGAUACAGAAGGAGGUGUGAAGGGUGCAGCUUUUCAACAAAAGAGAAACAACACGACCCACCCGUUAGUCAUCUUCUUCCUUCAGCCAUUAAAGACCCUUGAACCUCCAACUUCAAAAAUCGAAAACACCUUAGAACUCCAUAGUUUUUGUUCCGAAAUAUCCUCAUUUUUUCGUCAGCUAAAUCAGAACCAGCAUACUCUGAAUUUUGACAUCGAGUACUCACAUUUGAUCGACAGAGAGGUCCACUCCAGUUCUGUUGUCGACGUUUUGAUCGGCAGCCCGUUCGUGGUCGAGUUUCCGGUGUCGUUGAGGUACUUGGUUGAGUCUUGGUCUUCAUUCUUUGCUCGACAUUGUUUUAAAUUUCUUAUUGGAUUUAAGAUCUGAGGUCCGAUGUUACUCUUGUCUUUUCUAAAAAUUUGAUCAAUCAAAUUUUAAUUCGUAUUUGGGUUUUGCUGAAGUCGUUGCUGACUGUCUCGUUCAUGAAUGAGUUGCUGUUCAAAUUAUUUGUGAUCCCUUAAUAGCACCGGUGUGCGUUUUUUCUAGUGAUAUUAGUUGAGUAUUUCCUUCAUGAAUUUGUAUUCGGUUGGUUUUCAAGGGCACAAAUGCUAUCGCAUUCACUAUUUUCUUUGUAGCUAUAGUACGAAAUUAGCAUAAAUGUUUUUUGAGCUAAAAUCUGAUUGUCUUCAACUUUUCAAGUGAUAACAUGAAUUAUUUGUUUAAUAGAUUUAAAGGGGUCAAUGUUACCAGAGGUACAAUUUAGAUUAUAUCUUAUAGAAGAGUGAUUUAUUUAAUGGGUUGGAACUCAAUUAUUAACUUGCGUAUUUGUUCUUAGUUGUUGUUGUAUUCCUAGUUCAUUUCUUUGAUUCUAAGAGUUAAUUUGGGUAAUUUGGUGAUUUAUUGUUGAUGGUUAUUUAAUUUAUGAGACUACUGAUUCAUAUUUGAAAUGAUAUUAGCAAGGUAAAUUAACUUAAUUGCGGUUAGUAUAAUGGAAUCUUUGUUGGGGUCUAAGUUAUCUUCAUGAAAGCCAGAUCUGUAUUUAUUUAAAAUGAUCCUAAUUCUUUUUAUGGAUACAUAUGUAGUUUUGUCUAUGAAAUGCUUGUACUUUGUGGUUUCAUUUGUAGAUUUGGAAGGGCAGUAGACGAACUAAUAUUAUUUUUAGUCACCAUGCUUGUCUGGAUCACGAAGUUUGGCUAGCUCAAUAUUUAAGGGAUGUUUAGCGCUAAUCAGAAUACUCCCUCAUGUUUGAUCAUGCUUGUGCAAUGGUUAGAUGAUUAAAAUGCACAUAGGUUUAAAAGUAUUUUAAAAUCAGAUAAUUAGGCCAAUAAUAAUAGUUAAGUGACCGUGCUAGAACCAGGAACUCGGGAGUGCCUAACACCUUCUCCCAGGUUAAUAGAAUUCCUUACUCGAGUUUCUGGUUCGCGAACUGUAAUACAGAGUCAACCUUUCCUCAAUUCGGGAUUCUAAACCGGUGACUUGGGACACCAUAAAUUAUCUCAAGUGGUGACUCUGAUUCUUAAAUAAAUAAAUCCCUCUUUGAUUGUCCUUUAAUUGAAAAAAUUCCCUUAUCUACGUCAUUCGCGGGGUGUAGUGGAAAAAGGAGGUAUGACAGUACUGAUGCCCUUUUAUUUGUGCAUGCUGCAGGUCGUGUUGCAGAUCCUGGCAGACAGGCAGGUGUAUCUCUCCCACCACAAUAGGUGUCCACUUCAGCGGUGAUUAGCGAGAUCCCUUCUCUGGACUUGCCGUGGUCUUGGUAUGCAUUUUUGUUAUAGACAUUAUGGGUAUGUCGGGGCCCUACUCCGGCUAUGUUUCAGCACUUAUGUUCCAUUAGAGGCUCAUAGACAGGUGUCGACUUAUGUAUAGUUUGGUAUGCCUUGUCAGCUGAUUUUUGUUGUAUAGUCUUUCAUAGUAGCGUAGUAGCUCGUAACUUAUAUAUAGUUCUUGAUUAUCUGGUCAUCCCAUGUUAUGUAUGUUCAUGCCAUCAUAUUUUAUUGUUGGUUGUCCAUGAUCCAUGUCUAC